rnacentral:rRNA from 1 species
GACGAACGCUGGCGGCGUGCUUAACACAUGCAAGUCGAACGGAAAGGCCACUUUGGGGGUACUCGAGUGGCGAACGGGUGAGUAACACGUGAGUAACCUGCCCUUGACUUCGGGAUAACUUCAGGAAACUGGGGCUAAUACCGGAUAGGAAUCCUUGCUGCAUGGUGGGGGUUGGAAAGCUUCGGCGGUUUUGGAUGGACUCGCGGCUUAUCAGCUUGUUGGUGGGGUAGUGGCUUACCAAGGCUUUGACGGGUAGCCGGCCUGAGAGGGCGACCGGCCACAUUGGGACUGAGAUACGGCCCAGACUCCUACGGGAGGCAGCAGUGGGGAAUAUUGCACAAUGGGCGGAAGCCUGAUGCAGCAACGCCGCGUGCGGGAUGACGGCCUUCGGGUUGUAAACCGCUUUCAGCAGGGGCGAAGCUUGUGGUGACGGUACCUGCAGAAGAAGCACCGGCUAACUACGUG